UACAGAGGGUGCUAGCGUUAAUCGGAAUUACUGGGCGUAAAGAGCGCGCAGGCGGUCGUUCAAGUCGAGUGUGAAAGCCCCCCGGCUCAACUGGGGAGGGUCAUUCGAUACUGAUCGACUCGAAGGCAGGAGAGGGAAGUGGAAUUCCCGGUGUAGUGGUGAAAUGCGUAGAUAUCGGGAGGAACACCAGUGGCGAAAGCGGCUU
rnacentral:rRNA from 1 species